rnacentral:rRNA from 1 species
GUCGAACGAAGCAUUUGCGACAGAUUUUUUCGGAAUGAAGUUGCUUAUCACUGAGUGGCGGACGGGUGAGUAACGCGUGGGUAACCUGCCUUGUACUGGGGGAUAGCAGCUGGAAACGGCUGGUAAUACCGCAUAAGCGCACAAUGUUGCAUGACAUGGUGUGAAAAACUCCGGUGGUAUAAGAUGGACCCGCGUCUGAUUAGCUAGUUGGUGAGAUAACAGCCCACCAAGGCGACGAUCAGUAGCCGACCUGAGAGGGUGACCGGCCACAUUGGGACUGAGACACGGCCCGGACUCCUACGGGAGGCAGCAGUGGGGAAUAUUGCACAAUGGAGGAAACUCUGAUGCAGCGACGCCGCGUGAGUGAAGAAGUAAUUCGUUAUGUAAAGCUCUAUCAGCAGGGAAGAUAGUGACGGUACCUGACUAAGAAGCUCCGGCUAAAUACGUGCCAGCAGCCGCGGUAAUACGUAUGGAGCAAGCGUUAUCCGGAUUUACUGGGUGUAAAGGGAGUGUAGGUGGCCAUGCAAGUCAGAAGUGAAAAUCCGGGGCUCAACCCCGGAACUGCUUUUGAAACUGUAAGGCUGGAGUGCGGGAGGGGUGAGUGGAAUUCCUAGUGUAGCGGUGAAAUGCGUAGAUAUUAGGAGGAACACCAGUGGCGAAGGCGGCUCACUGGACUGUAACUGACACUGAGGCUCGAAAGCGUGGGGAGCAAACAGGAUUAGAUACCCUGGUAGUC